UGAAAAAGCCCGGGUGGCGCUGAGAAGCAUCGGAAAAAAAAGCUGAAGUCUCUGGAGGUGGAGGCUGCUAAAUGUGCCAAACUGACGGACCUGUUUGGUGCCGGGUUCACCAGCCCAGCAGCAGCAGGUGCGCCGGGAGACAAGCGAGCAGGACUCGACAAUGAUGAGCGAGUGGAGGCAGACAUGGUUGUUGUGAUAUAUUUGAGGAGUCGUUCUCCCUCUGUUUUAUAUGUGGACAUUUGGGACCACUGUUAGAAUUUGGUUGACCACUUGACAUGUGAGAGCCUGAGGAGUUGUUCACCCUCUGUCCAUGUUCGAGGACUUGCUCUCUGUCUGCCUCCACUCUCUGCCUUCACUGUACCAAAGUUUGUCUGUUGAGUCUCCUCUAGUCUGGUUGACCACUUGACAUGUGAGAGCCUGAGGAGUUGUUUUCCAGACACAGGUAGAGCUGGCAGGGGCGUCACCCUGGGCCUGCCCUUUUGGGCUGGGUUUCAGCUGCAGAUCUAAAGGCUGCUUCCAGGGGCAUGGGGCCCUCAGCCUUUGUUUUUCUUUGCUUCUGCACCUUACAACAUACAUCACACCUUAUUUUCACACAUCCAAACACUGUUAACACCACUGACGCGUAACAUAUUUUACACAUCCCACUACGUAGUUAGAGCUAUCUUGAUUUGGAGUUAAAUAAAUUUACUUUUGGCUUGA